AAAAACUUUUAGUCACACAAAAAAUUAUUAAAAGUUUCACAAAUAAACCCACGCGUAGCAUGGGUUCACAACCUAGAUUCUAAAGCCGUCCACGUAAGAUUUAAAAUGACCAAUCGGGAGCUGGCACAUCAAUAAUUAACAUAUUUAGCAUCUAAUU
rnacentral:sRNA from 1 species